rnacentral:rRNA from 1 species
CAAUAGCGUAUAUUAAAGUUGUUGCAGUUAAAAAGCUCGUAGUUGAAUUUCUGAUAGAAGGGAGCGGUUCCGUAUUCUUACGGAUACUUGCUCGUCUUCCGUCAUCCUUGGGCUUAGUCUCGCUGAUAUUAACUUAUCGGCGUGUACGAUGCCCAUCGUUUACUGUGAGCAAAUUAGAGUGUUCAAAGCAGACUUAUGUCGUUGAAUAUAUUAGCAUGGAAUAAUAAGAUAGGACCUAGUGACUAUUUUGUUGGUUUGCGUUAUUAGGUAAUGAUUAAGAGGGACAGUUGUGGGUAUUCGUAUUCAGAUGUCAGAGGUGAAAUUCUUAGAUUAUCGGAAGACGAACGACUGCGAAAGCAUUUACCAAGGAUGUUUNCAUUA